rnacentral:rRNA from 1 species
CGAUACGAGUUUGAUCAUGGCUCAGAAUCAACGCUGGCGGCGUGCCUCAGACAUGCAAGUCGAACGAUUAAAGCUCUCUUCGGAGAGUGUAUAGAGUGGCGCACGGGUGAGUAACACGUAAGUAAUCUACCCUCGAGUGGGGAAUAACAACCGGAAACGGUUGCUAAUACCGCAUAAUGCAGCGGCACCGCAAGGUGACAGUUGUUAAAGAUUUAUCGCUUGAGGAGGAGCUUGCGGCAGAUUAGCUAGUUGGUAGGGUAACGGCUUACCAAGGCUACGAUCUGUAACCGGUCUAAGAGGACGGUCGGUCACACUGACACUGAAUAACGGGUCAGACUCCUACGGGAGGCAGCAGUCGGGAAUUUUGGGCAAUGGGCGAAAGCCUGACCCAGCAACGCCGCGUGAAGGAUGAAGUAUUUCGGUAUGUAAACUUCGAAAGAAUAGGAAGAAUUAAUGACGGUACUAUUUAUAAGGUCCGGCUAACUACGUG